AUUGAACGCUGGCGGCAGGCUUAACACAUGCAAGUCGAGCGAGCGGCGGACGGGUGAGAAAUGUCUGGGAAACUGCCUGAUUGAGGGGGAUAACUACUGGAAACGGUAGCUAAUACCGCAUACCCUCAGAUGUGCCCAGAUGGGAUUAGCUAGUAGGUGGGGUCAUGGCUUACCUAGGCGACGAUCCAUAGCUGGUCUGAGAGGAUGCCCAGCCACACUGGAACUGAGACCCGGUCCAGACUCCUACGGGAGGCAGCAGUGGGGAAUAUUGCACAAGGGGCGCAAGCCUGAUGCAGCCAUGCCGCUUGUGUGAAGAAGGCCUUCGGGUUGUAAAGUUCUUUCGGUAGCGAGGCGUUAACUACAGAAGAAGCACCGGCUAACUCCGUGCCAGCAGCCGCGGUAAUUC
rnacentral:rRNA from 1 species